UACGGGGGGAGCAAGCGUUGUUCGGAUUUACUGGGCGUAAAGGGCGGGUAGGCGGCCACCGCAAGUCAGUUGUGAAAUCUACGGGCUUAACCCGGAAAGGUCAACUGAUACUGCGGGGCUAGAGUGCAGAAGGGGCAACUGGAAUUCUCGGUGUAGCGGUGAAAUGCGUAGAUAUCGAGAGGAACACCUGCGGCGAAGGCGGGUUGCUGGGCUGACACUGACGCUGAACUGCGAAAGCUAGGGGAGCGAACGGG
rnacentral:rRNA from 1 species